rnacentral:rRNA from 1 species
GACGAACGCUGGCGGCGUGCUUAACACAUGCAAGUCGAACGGUGAAGCGCCUUCCUUUUUGGUGGGUGUGGAUGAGUGGCGAACGGGUGAGUAACACGUGAGUAACCUGCCCCCUUCUUCUGGAUAACCGCAUGAAAGUGUGGCUAAUACGGGAUAUUCUGGGUCUGUCGCAUGAUGGGUCUGGGAAAGAUAUUGUUUCGGUGGGGGAUGGGCUCGCGGCCUAUCAGCUUGUUGGUGGGGUGCUGGCCUACCAAGGCGGUGUCGGGUAGCCGGCCUGGGAGGGUGGACGGCCACACUGGGACUGAGACACGGCCCAGACUCCGACGGGAGGCAGCAGUGGAGAAUAGUGCACAAGGGGCGGAAGCCUGAUGCAGCGACGCCGCGUGAGGGAUGGAGGCCUUCGGGUUGUGAACCUCUUUCGCCAGUGAAGCAGGCCUGCCUCGUUUGUGGGUGGGUUGACGGUAGCUGGAUAAGAAGCGCCGGCUAACUACGUG